rnacentral:rRNA from 1 species
UACAGAGGGGGCAAGCGUUGUUCGGAAUUACUGGGCGUAAAGGGCGCGUAGGCGGCCUUCUAAGUCGAACGUGAAAUCCCCGGGCUCAACCCGGGAACUGCGUCCGAUACUGGAAGGCUUGAAUCCGGGAGAGGGAUGCGGAAUUCCAGGUGUAGCGGUGAAAUGCGUAGAUAUCGGGAGGAACACCAGUGGCGAAGGCGGCGAUCUGGGAAGAUACUGACGCUGAGGUGCGAAAGCGUGGGGAGCAAACAGG